UAUUGGAUAACACUCUGGGGUCCAGACCCCAGGAAGUUUAUACUGCAAAUGAGCUGCUCAGUACCUCCCCCAUGGCCAGUGCUGUCUCCUUCCCAUCCUUUGAGUCAGUGUUCAGGACCCCCAGAGAAGGCUAUUCUUAUUUUCCAAGCCAUUGUUCAUGGACUGGCCUGUCAUAAGACAUGACGCUUCAUUGCAAACAUCUCCACUCCUCACCUCCUCACGUGCUCAGCAACCUUCUCAGUGGAGUAACUGUAAACUCCAUUCUCAUAAAAACCCCAAGGAUGUAAACCCCACAGGAUGGAGUUUAUUAAAGUAAAACCCGAAACAAAAUCCCUACAUUCUUCUCUUUUAGAUCUAUUCAAAAGAACCAAUAGCCUUCACUCCCACAAACUGCCACAGCAUUUCCAUUCCAAUGAAAACAAACAAGCUUGAACUGAAAAACCUACAGUCCGUGGCAAACAACAAGUCAGGUAAUUUCCUUCAAUAGGGACACAGACUUGUAAAUAAAGAGGCAAAGCAGUACAUUUCGAGGGACAUUCUUCCCUCCUGUAACUUCCAUCAGCUUUUCCCUCCAUGUCCACCGACCCACAUCAUAUCACCUCCUCCAGUCAAGAAACAACCUCAGUAAAAUGA